rnacentral:rRNA from 1 species
UGGGGAAUAUUGGACAAUGGGCGCAAGCCUGAUCCAGCCAUGCCGCGUGGGUGAAGAAGGCCCUAGGGUUGUAAAUCCCUUUCAGCGGGGAAGAUAAUGACGGUACCCGCAGAAGAAGCCCCGGCUAACUCCGUGCUAGCAGCAGCGGUAAUACGGAGGGGGCUAGCGUUGUUCGGAAUUACUGGGCGUAAAGCGCGCGUAGGCGGACCUUCAAGUCAGGGGUGAAAUCCCGAGGCUCAACCUCGGAAUUGCCUUUGAUACUGAUGGUCCUGAGUCCGAGAGAGGUGGGUGGAAUUCCUAGUGUAGAGGUGAAAUUCGUAGAUAAUAGGAAGAACACCAGUGGCGAAGGCGGCUCACUGGCUCGGUACUGACGCUGAGGCGCGAAAGCGUGGGGAGCAAACAGGAUUAGAUACCCCCGUAGUCC